rnacentral:rRNA from 1 species
GGUACUAUCUUUUUAAUUUGCUCCCACAUGACAGGGGUUUACAAUCCGAAGACCUUCAUUCCCCCACGCGGCGUCGCACCAUCAGGGUUUCCCCCAUUGAGAAUGAUUCUCGA